GACGAAGGAUGCAAGCGUUAUCCGGAUUCAUUGGGUUUAAAGGGAGCGUAGGUGGCCUUAUAAGUCAGUGGUGAAAUCCUGUUGCUUAACAGCAGAAUUGCCAUUGAUACUGUAGGGCUUGAGUACAGUUGCUGUGGGCGGAAUAUGACAUGUAGUGGUGAAAUACAUAGAGAUGUCAUAGAACACCGAUUGCGAAGGCAGCUCACAAAAACUGUAACUGACACUGAGGCUCGAAAAGUGCGGGGGAUCAAAACAGGAUUAGAAAACCCCCAG
rnacentral:rRNA from 1 species